rnacentral:pre_miRNA from 1 species
CCCUGGCUCUAGCAGCACAGAAAUAUUGGCACUGGGACGAGCCUGCCAAUAUUGGCUGAGCUGCUCCAGGCAGGG